ACAGCUACAACUACUGCAGAGGCUGAAUUACUGAUUAUCCAUCCCAUUCGGUUGGGUUUGGCUUUAAAUUUCUCUGUUUUCUACUAUGAGAUAAUGAACUCCCCUGAAAGGGCAUGCCAUUUGGCUAAGCAGGUUUUUGAUGAAGCAAUAUCAGAGCUGGAUUCUCUCAAUGAAGACAACUACAAAGAUGGCACCUUGAUUCUGCAGCUUCUUAGGGACAAUCUCACCUUGUGGACUGCUGACAUUCCGGAGGAUGCAGAAGAGGCUCUAAAGGGUGAUGCUGCAAACAAAGUGGCUGGAGGCGAGGAUGCAGAGUGAUGAGCCCAACGAGGAGAGCCUAACCAUAUGGAGGACGAUGAAGCAUCUGAGGGAUUGUUUGUUAAGGUGCUAAUAGAUAAUUGUGGCUUGUAAGGCACCAAUAAAAGAAAAUAGCUACUUGUUUAUUGGAAGCUGAAGCAUUAGUCUUCACAAGCCGUUGAUUCCAUUAUUGAAACAAAUGGUUUGCAGAGAGGUGACACAACACUUAACAAUUUCUCUAAAGUGUGAAUUUUGAAGUUUUGAGCGAAUUCGAGAUAUUUACAUUGACUGGGAAUGAUGACACGUUAAAUGCAUUUUGAUAUCCAAUUUCCCACGCCACAUAAAUUGGACCACAUUUAUCAAAUUCAAAGUGUAUAUGGCCUCUGAAACAUUCUGAUGUGAUAAUUUUUUCUAGGGGUAUUGAAUAGUUUAAGUAGCUCGUAAUUAAAGUUAGAACUACUUCAAUACACAUAAUUAGAAGCCUUUUCUUAA